GACGAACCGAGCGAACGUUGUUCGGAAUCACUGGGCUUAAAGGGCGCGUAGGCGGGCUGUCAAGUUUGGGGUGAAAUCCCACGGCUCAACCGUGGAACUGCCUCAAAUACUGACGGUCUCGAGGAAGGUAGGGGCGAGCGGAACUGAUGGUGGAGCGGUGAAAUGCGUUGAUAUCAUCAGGAACUCCGGUGGCGAAGGCGGCUCGCUGGACCUUUUCUGACGCUGAGGCGCGAAAGCUAGGGGAGCAAACGGG
rnacentral:rRNA from 1 species